GGGUCGACAUAGCUGUGAAGGCCGGUCAGGUGCGGAUGCAAGCAGCAG
rnacentral:SRP_RNA from 1 species